UACGGAGGGGGCGAGCGUUGUCCGAAGUUACUGGGCGUAAAGCGCGUGUAGGCGGUCGGGCAAGUCGGAUGUGAAAGCCCAGGGCUCAACCCUGGAAGUGCACUCGAUACUGCUCGGCUAGAGUCCCGGAGAGGAUGGUGGAACUCUCGGUGUAGAGGUGAAAUUCGUAGAUAUCGAGAAGAACACCGGUGGCGAAGGCGGCCAUCUGGACGGUGACUGACGCUGAGACGCGAAAGCGUGGGGAGCAAACAGG
rnacentral:rRNA from 1 species